GUCUGCAACUCGACUACAUGAAGCUGGAAUCGCUAGUAAUCGCAGAUCAGAAUGCUGCGGUGAAUACGUUCCCGGGUCUUGUACACACCGCCCGUCACACCAUGGGAGUCGGAAAUGCCCGAAGCCGGUGACCAAACCAAUAAGGAAGGAGCCGUCGAAGGCAGGUCUGAUAACUGGGGUGAAGUCGUAACAAGGUAGC
rnacentral:rRNA from 1 species